UAUUUUCUCCUCCCAUCCUCUUCGCACGCAACGACGGCGGCGGCAUCUUCCACAGCGCUGAGAUCCCCUUUGGCAAGGCGGCAUCACGGCGGCACACACUCGAGUAACCUCACAAGAAGCGGGAGGACGGGGAAGGUUCACACCAAGCUCGGCAGCUUCACCAUCUCUCGCAAAGCCAGGACCUCUCUGGCAUUGGUGACGAUAUCUCUGUGAGUAGCCACCGCCAUCUCUCCUUUUCUAUCUUUCUGCGCAGUUGCUUGCUCCAGCGUCCAGGCUGUUUCGUUGAAUCUGUUGCCUUCGAUAUUUAUCUAGUCCUGGGGAAGUUGAGUUGGAAGAUCUAGUGUUGAGAUAGGAGAUCUAUUUACAUGGCUGUGCUAAUGUGAAGUUUGCUUUUUCGUUCAUGUCAGUUCUGAUGUCUCUACACGCUUCCUGGCCAGGCUUUGUGCAGCAGCCUGCAGGCUGGGACGCGCCGUGCAUGCUGCUCCUCUCCUUCAUAUCCACAUGGUAGUUGGCCGGCGGACCUUCCUCCUCCGUGCUUCCUAUAUAGAAAACAUUCAGAUUAAUUAAGCUUAACUUAUCAAUUUAUGUUUCUUUUGGAUUAAUUAUCACUGUUGGAUGUGCAGAUCUGAUUUUUUCUUGAUAGUAAAUUGUAUGUGCAACUCCGUACUUCUCUAGAACUUAUUUUUAGUUUAUUUCUAGUAUUACUGUUACUGCUGUUAUAUGUUCCUGCUGUCAUAAAUCCUUUGUUUCUGCCUUGUGUAUUGUGUUUUCCCUUUGUUAGUACAGUACAUUCUUGCUCACUAAAUAUUUCAGAGGCUGCCAUUUAUUUAUGAGUAUAUUUACUGUAAUUUCUUUGAUGGUUUAUGCUAGAAGAAAGGACAAUUUUUUCUUUGCUUUAAGCUCUUCUGGAAUUUUCUAAACUGAAACCAAAAGCCCAUCUAUUACUUUGCUGGUAGCAGGAGUUCCUAGAUUGGAUUGAUACAUCCUAGUUUGCUCCUGUCACUGUUCUAUCUAACUAGUGAAUUUUGAGUGAGUAUUAUAGGUUCUAACCUCCUGUUUGCUAAACAAGAAGUUUAAUACUUUUAAAGCAUGCUGGACAUUUUCGAUAGUAUAGUAUGUAGUAACAGUAGCAUUUAUUUUUCAGCAGGCACACAAAAAAUAAGUGUGGAAAUUGAGAUUUCAAAAAACUCUAAGUUUGCUGGUUGACCUGUUAUUUCUCUUUUUGCCACCGUAAUUCAAAGCUAUGCUCCCUUGGAAAAUCAUGUAUUUCUCUAGCUGCACUGACUAUGGCAAUAUAUCUUCCGUGUAUGUGUUACUUGCAUUUAUUACUGUUUUGAUGAAAUAGCAGCCAGACUAUUGAGUAGAUGCAUAAGUUUUUCUUACAGGAAUUAAUAGUUUUUGUGUUCUAAUCUAUAAUUCAACAAUUAGUAGUGUUACAUUAUCUUGUCGUUGCAGUGCUAUCUAUUAAGUUCUUUGAAUCACCAUUUGAUUGAACGUUUCUUUUUCUGGUUUUUAGGAAGAGAAUUGGUGGAUAAAACAAUAUUGGAGAAGUGCUUGACCAAGGAACAUCAUUUCACCAAGGCGGUUGCUUUGCUUAUUUGCUGAUCGCGGCAUGGUGGAUAGACAAUGUUAGCUGUUUGAAUUAGUGUAGUUUUUAAAUUGAUUCAUCGUCAAUUUGUAAAUUUUUUUAUAUAAACAUAUUUGACCAAAUGGUUGUAAAUCUAUAAUUCAGAAUGCUAUAAUGAAAUUUCACCAUAUUUGUCAUUCAAUGAAUGUUGGGAUUUCUUCUUAAAAUAAAAAUAGAUGGGCCAGUUGGUGAUGUAAGCAUCCAUGUUAUCAUCCACGUAAGCAGUCUGAUGAUGAUGUGGCAAUUU
rnacentral:lncRNA from 1 species